rnacentral:rRNA from 1 species
UGACUAAGCCAUGCGNGUCGNGAGGUGUAAGACCUCGGCAUACUGCUCAGUAACACGUGGUUAACCUGCCCUAAGGUGGAGCAUACUCCCGGGAAACUGGGGCUAAUACUCCAUAGUGGAUGCAUCCUGGAAUGGUGCAUCCUCGAAAGAUCCGUCGCCUUAGGAUGGGACUGCGUCCGAUUAGGUUGUUGGCGGGGUAACGGCCCACCAAGCCAUUGAUCGGUACGGGUUGUGGGAGCAAGAUCCCGGAGAUGGAUUCUGAGACAUGAAUCCAGGCCCUACGGGGCGCAGCAGGCGCGCAAACUUUACAAUGCGAGCAAUCGUGAUAAGGAAACCCUGAGUGCCUGUCGAUGCAGGCUGUUCAUAUAUCUAAAUCAUAUGUGAAGAAAGGGCAGGGCAAGACCGGUGCCAGCCGCCGCGGUAAUACCGGCUGCUCGAGUGAUGGCCACUAUUACUUGGGUUUAAAGCGUCCGUAGCUGGACUGUUAGGUCCCUUGGGAAAUCUUCACGCUUAACGUGAAGGCGUCUAAGAGAUACCGGCAGUCUUGGGACUGGGAGAGGUAAACCGUACUUCGGGGGUAGGAGUGAAAUCUUGUAAUCCUCGAGGGACGACCUAUGGCGAAGGCAGUUUACCAGAACAGCUUCGACAGUGAGGGACGAAAGCUGGGGGAGCAAACGGGAUUAGAUACCCCGGUAGUCCCAGCCGUAAACAAUGUGCGUUAGGUGUGUCGGUAACCACGCGUUACUGAUGCGCCGAAGAGAAAUCGUGAAACGCACCACCUGGGAAGUACGGUCGCAAGGCUGAAACUUAAAGGAAUUGGCGGGGGAGCACCACAACAGGUGGAGCCUGCGGUUU